rnacentral:rRNA from 1 species
UACGGAGGGGGCUAGCGUUGUUCGGAAUUACUGGGCGUAAAGCGCGCGUAGGCGGACCUGCAAGUCGGGGGUGAAAGCCCGAGGCUCAACCUCGGAACUGCCUUCGAUACUGGCAAUCUCGAGUCCGGAAGAGGUAAGUGGAACUCCUAGUGUAGAGGUGGAAUUCGUAGAUAUUAGGAAGAACACCAGUGGCGAAGGCGGCUUACUGGUCCGGUACUGACGCUGAGGUGCGAAAGCGUGGGGAGCAAACAGG